rnacentral:rRNA from 1 species
AACGAACGCUGGCGGCAUGCCUAACACAUGCAAGUCGAACGAUCGCUUCGGGGAUGGUGGCGCACGGGUGCGUAACGCGUGGGAACCUGCCUUUGGGUUCGGAUGAACUCGGGGAAAUUUGAGCUAAUACCGGAGAAUGUCUUCGGACCAAAGUGUUUUCGCCUUUGGGUGGGCCCGAGUUGGCUUAGUUAGUUGGUGGGGUAAAGGCCUAUCAAGGCGACGAUGCAUAGCUGGUUUGAGAGGAUGAUCAGCCACACUGGGACUGGGACACGGCCCAGACUACUACGGGAGGCAGCAGUGGGGAAUCUUGCACAAUGGGCGAAAGCCUGAUCCAGCAAUGACGCGUGAGUGAUGAAGGCCUUAGGGUUGUAAAGCUCUUUUACCCGGGAUGAUAAUGACAGUACCGGGAGAAUAAGCCUCGGCUAACUCCGUG